UACGGAGGGGGCUAGCGUUGUUCGGAAUUACUGGGCGUAAAGCGCGCGUAGGCGGACCUGCAAGUCGGGGGUGAAAGCCCGAGGCUCAACCUCGGAACUGCCUCCGAUACUGCGGGUCUCGAGUCCGGGAGAGGUGAGUGGAAUUCCUAGUGUAGAGGUGAAAUUCGUAGAUAUCGGGAGGAACACCAGAGGCGAAGGCGGCGACCUGGACAGGCACUGACACUCAACUACGAAAGCGUGGGGAGCAAACAGG
rnacentral:rRNA from 1 species